UUUGGAGAGUUUGAUCCUGGCUCAGGACGAACGCUGGCGGCGUGCUUAACACAUGCAAGUCGAACGAAAAUACCAAGCUUGCUUGGUUGAUUAGUGGCGAACGGGUGAGUAACACGUGAGUAACCUGCCCCUUACUUUCCUGGAUAACUGCUCGAAAGGGUAGCUAAUACGGGAUAUUCUGACUAGCCUGCAUGGGUUGGUUUGGAAAGGUUGUUUUUUCUGGUAAGGGAUGGGCUCGCGGCCUAUCAGCUUGUUGGUGGGGUGAUGGCCUACCAAGGCUUUGACGGGUAGCCGGCCUGAGAGGGUGGACGGUCACACUGGGACUGAGAUACGGCCCAGACUCCUACAGGGAGGCAGCAGUGGGGGAAUAUUGCACAAUGGGCGCAAGCCUGAUGCAGCGACGCCGCGUGAGGGAUGAAGGCCUUCGGGUUGUAAACCUCUUUCGUCAGGGAACAAGGCACUGUCUUUUUUUGGUGGUGUUGAGGGGUACCUGGAUAAGAAGCGCCGGCUAACUACGUGCCAGCAGCCGCGGUAAUACGUAGGGCGCAAGCGUUGUCCGGAAUUAUUGGGCGUAAAGAGCUCGUAGGCGGCUGGUCGCGUCUGUCGUGAAAACUUCCGGCUCAACCGGGGGCUUGCGGUGGGUACGGGCCGGCUAGAGUGCGGUAGGGGUAACUGGAACUCCUGGUGUAGCGGUGGAAUGCGCAGAUAUCAGGAAGAACACCGAUGGCGAAGGCAGGGUUACUGGGCCGUUACUGACGCUGAGGAGCGAAAGCGUGGGGGAGCGAACAGGAUUAGAUACCCUGGUAGUCCACGCUGUAAACGUUGGGCACUAGGUGUGAGGCUCCUUUCCGGGGGUUUUGCGCCGUAGCUAACGCAUUAAGUGCCCCGCCUGGGGAGUACGGCCGCAAGGCUAAAACUCAAAGGAAUUGACGGGGGCCCGCACAAGCGGCGGAGCAUGCGGAUUAAUUCGAUGCAACGCGAAGAACCUUACCAAGGCUUGACAUGUUAACCGUGGCUCUAGAGAUAGGGUUUACCCUUUUGGGUGGUUUUUCACAGGUGGUGCAUGGUUGUCGUCAGCUCGUGUCGUGAGAUGUUGGGUUAAGUCCCGCAACGAGCGCAACCCUUGUCCCGUGUUGCCAGCACGUUGUGGUGGGGACUCGCGGGAGACUGCCGGGGUCAACUCGGAGGAAGGUGGGGAUGACGUCAAAUCAUCAUGCCCCUUAUGUCUUGGGCUUCACGCAUGCUACAAUGGCCGGUACAGAGGGUUUGCGAUACUGUGAGGUGGAGCUAAUCCCUUAAAAGCUGGUCUCAGUUCGGAUUGGUGUCUGCAACUCGACACCAUGAAGGUGGAGUCGCUAGUAAUCGCAGAUCAGCAACGCUGCGGUGAAUACGUUCUCGGGCCUUGUACACACCGCCCGUCACGUCACGAAAGUUGGCAACACCCCAAGCCCGUGGCUCUACGGGGAGCGGUUAAAGGUGGGGCUAGCGAUUGGGACGAAGUCGUAACAAGGUAGCCGUACCGGAAGGUGCGGCUGGAUCACCUCCUU
rnacentral:rRNA from 1 species